AGGACCAAGGGACCUGAAGAGGACAGGGACUCCACAGGAAGACCCACACAGUCAACUAACCUGGACCCGUAGGGGCUCUCAGAGACUGAACCACAGCCAAAGGGAACGCAGGUUUGGUUCCCAGCACCUGAGUCAAGGGGCUCGCUACUGCCUGUAACUCCAGCUCCAGGGGAUCUGACAGCUCCUGGCCUCCAAAGCCAUUCCCACAGCUUUGAAAUAUAUUUAUACAGGCUCGUAAAUAACGAUGUGUAUGAAAAAGAGAUUCAUAGCAUCCUGAUAGACUUUUCAGUGCACAUUGCUGCACAGAGCCGGAUCAAAAUGAGAUGGGGACCAUCAUCUAACAACAGAUUUCAAGUGGAACACUUAAGCUUCAGCAAAUACUGCAGGUUUUUUUUUUUUUCAUGUCAUCCAUAAAAGAAAGAAUGAAUCAAUGAAAUCUACCUCAAAUGCAUAAUCCGUUGUUUUUCCUGAAGGUGAGAGUCCAGGGACUAGAAGCACAGAGAGUACCAUCAGAUCAUGUAUCAAAAUAUAAGCCUAAAUAUUGUCUUUGAAAAUAAAAUCCAACAGUGAGCAUAAAUAUCUUCCUUGAAAUCUUACCUAAAAGUAUAUGUUUUUGCCCUUUUAUGGUUGUCUACUACAUAUAGGUCAAUCUUUAAAAAAAAAGUACGAAAACCUG
rnacentral:lncRNA from 1 species